UACGGUAGGGGGCAAGCGUUGUCCGGAUUUAUUGGGCGUAAAGAGCGUGUAGGCGGCUAGAUAGGUCCGUUGUGAAAACUCGAGGCUCAACCUCGAGACGUCGAUGGAAACCAUCUGGCUAGAGUCCGGAAGAGGAGAGUGGGAAUUCCUGGUGUAGCGGUGAAAUGCGCAGAUAUCAGGAAGAACACCCGUGGCGAAGGCGGCUCUCUGGUACGUGACUGACGCUGAGACGCGAAAGCGUGGGGAGCGAACAGG
rnacentral:rRNA from 1 species